GGCCGACUGGCCCAGUGGUUAAGGCACCCGCUUUACAAUCGCAGUUCCAAUUGCGAGCGAAUCGCGGGGGAUCGCAGGUUCGAUCCCUGCGUCGGUCA